AGAGUUUGAUCAUGGCUCAGAACGAACGCUGGCGGCGUGCCUAACACAUGCAAGUCGAGCGCGAAUGGAGCAAUCCUAGUAGAGCGGCGCACGGGUGCGUAACACGUGGAUAAUCUGCCUGAGUGCCCGGGGAUAACCAGUCGAAAGAUUGGCUAAUACCGGAUAAGCCCACGGUCUCUUCGGAGAUUGAGGGAAAAGGUGGCCUCUGUAUACAAGCUAUCACAUUCAGAUGAGUCCGCGGCCCAUCAGCUAGUUGGCGGGGUAAUGGCCCACCAAGGCAACGACGGGUAGCUGGUCUGAGAGGACGAUCAGCCACACUGGAACUGAGACACGGUCCAGACUCCUACGGGAGGCAGCAGUGGGGAAUUUUGCGCAAUGGGCGAAAGCCUGACGCAGCAACGCCGCGUGUGUGAUGAAGGUCUUCGGAUUGUAAAGCACUUUCGACCGGGACGAAAACCCGAAGCCCAAUACGCUUCGGCUUGACGGUACCGGGAGAAGAAGCACCGGCUAACUCUGUGCCAGCAGCCGCGGUAAUACAGAGGGUGCAAGCGUUGUUCGGAAUUAUUGGGCGUAAAGCGCGUGUAGGCGGCGUGGCAAGUCGGGUGUGAAAGCCCUCAGCUCAACUGAGGAAGUGCGCCCGAAACUGCUGUGCUUGAGUGCCGGAGAGGGUGGCGGAAUUCCCCAAGUAGAGGUGAAAUUCGUAGAUAUGGGGAGGAACACCGGUGGCGAAGGCGGCCACCUGGACGGUAACUGACGCUGAGACGCGAAAGCGUGGGGAGCAAACAGGAUUAGAUACCCUAGUAGUCC
rnacentral:rRNA from 1 species